AUGCCGCGGUGAAUCCGUUCCCGGGCCUUGUACACACCGCCCGUCACACCACGAGAGUGAGCAACACCCGAAGUCGGUGGGGCAACCGGUUUGGAGCCAGCCGCCGAAGGUGGGGCUCGCGAUUGGGGUGAAGUCGUAACAAGGUAGCCGUAUCGGAAGGUGCGGCUGGAUCACCUCCUUUCU
rnacentral:rRNA from 1 species